rnacentral:lncRNA from 1 species
UGGCAUCAGUGCGUAAUAUCUUUCUUCUAGGAUUUUGGUACAACAUGCCAUCAGAGAAGAUGAGAUGAAUCCUAAAUGGAAAAGGAACUCUGGACUUAGCAACUGCAGCAAAUUUGUCUUCAAUGGAAAAGAUUUUAAUCAAAAUUACAUGACAGUACUCAUUUCCCCACACUUUUGAUAACACACAAUUUAAAAUAUUUCAAUACUAAUAAUUUUUUUAUCUU